UGUGAUGUCUGAGCAAAAUUAUUCUUAGUCCACAAUCCUGUCACCUUAGGUCGAUCGGUACCUCAGAUUGAUGAAUUAAUUUAUUAUUAAAAUCAUUGAUUUCAGUUCCUAAACUUGUCUAGGUCACACCCAACAAGGGUUUCUCCUGGGCCAUUAGCUCAGGUGGUUAGAGCGCACCCCCGAUAAGGGUGAGGUCCCUGGUUCAAGUCCAGGAUGGCCCAUUCGUUGUUGGGGGUAUAGCUCAGUUGGUAGAGCGCCUGCUUUGCAAGCAGGAUGUCAGCGGUUCGAGUCCGCUUACCUCCACUGAUCACUGCCCUGAUAACUAAAUUCAGGAGGAAUUUGAAUAUGUGACUUAGAAUUGUCUAUCUGAAAAGAGAACCUAGCUUCUUAUCAUCUUUAUUAAAUGUUGAUAUGAUGCUGGGCUCACUAGGAAUAUUUUCCAAGUGAUUUCAGUAGAACCUUGAAAACUGCAUAGGUGGAAAGAAUAAAGCAUCUCAUGGAUGCAUAAUUCGAAUUUAAAUUAAUAAGAUUAAACUAUUUUUUUUAUUUUAGAAUUCAUGUUUAAUUCUUGAAGUAAAAGCCGGAGCCACAAUUGA
rnacentral:tRNA from 1 species